CGGGAGUAACGCGUGGAUAACCUGCCUCACACUGGGGGAUAACAGUUAGAAAUGACUGCUAAUACCGCAUAAGCGCACAGUACCGCAUGGUACAGUGUGAAAAACUCCGGUGGUGUGAGAUGGAUCCGCGUCUGAUUAGCCAGUUGGCGGGGUAACGGCCCACCAGAGCGACGAUCAGUAGCCGACCUGAGAGGGUGACCGGCCACAUUGGGACUGAGACACGGCCCAA
rnacentral:rRNA from 1 species